rnacentral:rRNA from 1 species
UACAGAGGUCUCAAGCGUUGUUCGGAUUCAUUGGGCGUAAAGGGUGUGUAGGUGGCGCCGUAAGUCGGGUGUGAAAUCUCGGGGCUUAACUCCGAAACUGCAUUCGAUACUGCGGUGCUUGAGGACUGGAGAGGAGACUGGAAUUCAUGGUGUAGCAGUGAAAUGCGUAGAGAUGACAUAGAACACCAAUUGCGAAGGCAGCUGGCUACACAUAUAUUGACACUGAGGCACGAAAGCGUGGGGAUCAAACAGG